GACGAACGCUGGCGGCGUGCUUAACACAUGCAAGUCGAACGGAAAGGCCCUGCUUUUGUGGGGUGCUCGAGUGGCGAACGGGUGAGUAACACGUGAGUAACCUGCCCUUGACUUUGGGAUAACUUCAGGAAACUGGGGCUAAUAUCGGAUAGGAGCUCCUGCUGCAUGGUGGGGGUUGGAAAGUUUCGGCGGUUGGGGUUGGUCUCGCGGCUUAUCAGCUUGUUGGGGGGGUAGUGGCUUACCAAGGCUUUGACGGGUAGGCGGCCUGAGAGGGUGACCGGCCACAUUGGUACUGAGAGACGGCCCAGACUCCUACGGGAGGCAGCAGUGGGGAAUAUUGCACAAUGGGCGGAAGCCUGAUGCAGCAACGCCGCGUGCGGGAUGACGGCCUUCGGGUUGUAAACCGCUUUCGCCUGUGACGAAGCGUGAGUGACGGUAAUGGGUAAAGAAGCACCGGCUAACUACGUG
rnacentral:rRNA from 1 species